AUACGUAGGGGGCGAGCGUUGUCCGGAAUGAUUGGGCGUAAAGGGCGCGUAGGCGGCCCGGUAAGUCUGGAGUGAAAGUCCUGUUUUUAAGAUGGGAAUUGCUUUGGAUACUGUCGGGCUUGAGUGCAGGAGAGGUAAGUGGAAUUCCCAGUGCAGCGGUGAAGUGCGUAGAGAUUGAGAGGAACACCAGUGGCGGAGGAGAAUUACUGUAGUUUAAGGGACGCUGAGGAUGGAAAGUGUUGGUAGCAAAAAUGAUUAGAUACCCUGGUAGUCCACACUGUAAACGAUUAAUGCUAGGUGUAGGGGCUAUCGACCCCUUCUGUGCCGAAGUCAAAACAAUAAGGAUUCAGCCUGGGGAGUACGGCCUCAAGGUUGAGGCUCAAAGGAAUUGACGGGU
rnacentral:rRNA from 1 species